rnacentral:rRNA from 1 species
CGUCUAUAUACGUAUAGCAUAUCAAUAAGCGGAGGAAAAGAAACUAACUAGGAUUCCCUCAGUAACGGCGAGUGAAGCGGGAAGAGCUCAAAUUUGAAAUCUUCAAGGUUUUACCUUGACGAAUUGUAGUUUAAAGAAGUGUUUUCUGUUGGAGUUUUGGUAAAAGUUCUUUGGAAAAGGACAUCAUAGAGGGUGAGAAUCCCGUAUUUGACCAUUAUCUCCAGCUUUGUGAUAAACUUUCAAAGAGUCGGAUUGUUUGGGAAUGCAGUCCAAAAUGGGUGGUAAAUUUCAUCUAAAGCUAAAUACUGGCGAGAGACCGAUAGCGAACAAGUACCGUGAGGGAAAGAUGAAAAGAACUUUGAAAAGAGAGUUUAACAGUACGUGAAAUUGUCAAAAGGGAAGCGUUUGACACCAGUGUUGUUUUCUCGAAAAUCAAUUAAAAAAGGCCGGAUUUUGUGUUGUAUUGACUUUAUCAGCUUUCUGCACUUUUUUCUUGUCUUUUUUAAUGCACUUUUCGUUUAACAAGUCAACAUCAAUUUCUUUUGUUGUAAAAGGGUCAUUGGAAGGUGGCUUUCUUUUCGGAGAAAGUGUUUAUAGCCUUUGGCCUCUGCAAUCGGAGAGAUUGAGGUCUGCAGCGUAGAUCCUUCGGGGUUAGAUACAUUUGUGCUAAGUUAUAGCCUUUCAUAGACAACUUGUUGACUAUGAUCAGUCAUGUAGCUUACUCGCUUAUGCUAUUUUACCUACGCUUAGGAUGUUGACUGAUAUGUAGUCGUA